rnacentral:snoRNA from 1 species
UAGACUAUACUUUCAGGGAUCAUUUCUAUAGUUUAUGGUAGUAUAAGUUAAGGUAGGGUACUUAUGAGGACAAACAGUGGUACAGGGUAGU